rnacentral:sRNA from 1 species
GCUGGGUGCAGUGGUGCAUGCCUGUAAUCCUAGCAACUUGAGAGGCUGAGACAGGAGGAUUGUGAGUUCAAAGCCAGCCUCAGCAACUUAACGAGGACCUAAGCAAUUCAGCAAGACCCUGUCUCAA